rnacentral:rRNA from 1 species
UACGGAGGGGGCAAGCGUUGUCCGGACUUACUGGGCGUAAAGGGUGCGUAGGCGGUCUUGUGCGUCGGUGCUGAAAGCGCCCGGCUUAACCGGGCGAGGCGUGCCGAUACGAUAAGACUGGAGGGGCAGCGAGGGUGGCGGAACUCCUGGUGUAGUGGUGAAAUGCGUAGAGAUCGGAAAGAACACCAACGGCGAAAGCACUCUGCUGGGCCGACACUGACACUGAGAGACGAAAGCUAGGGGAGCGAAUGGG